AUUCGGUGGGGAUUAGUGGCGAACGGGUGAGUAACACGUGGGCAAUCUGCCCUUCACUCUGGGACAAGCCCUGGAAACGGGGUCUAAUACCGGAUACUGACCCUCGCAGGCAUCUGCGAGGUUCGAAAGCUCCGGCGGUGAAGGAUGAGCCCGCGGCCUAUCAGCUUGUUGGUGAGGUAAUGGCUCACCAAGGCGACGACGGGUAGCCGGCCUGAGAGGGCGACCGGCCACACUGGGACUGAGACACGGCCCAGACUCCUACGGGAGGCAGCAGUGGGGAAUAUUGCACAAUGGGCGAAAGCCUGAUGCAGCGACGCCGCGUGAGGGAUGACGGCCUUCGGGUUGUAAACCUCUUUCAGCAGGGAAGAAGCGAAAGUGACGGUACCUGCAGAAGAAGCGCCGGCUAACUACGUGCCAGCAGCCGCGGUAAUACGUAGGGCGCAAGCGUUGUCCGGAAUUAUUGGGCGUAAAGAGCUCGUAGGCGGCUUGUCACGUCGGUUGUGAAAGCCCGGGGCUUAACCCCGGGUCUGCAGUCGAUACGGGCAGGCUAGAGUUCGGUAGGGGAGAUCGGAAUUCCUGGGUGUAGCGGUGAAAUGCGCAGAUAUCACGAGGAACACCGGUGGCGAAGGCGGAUCUCU
rnacentral:rRNA from 1 species